rnacentral:rRNA from 1 species
CCUACGGGAGGCAGCAGUGGGGAAUAUUGGACAAUGGGGGGAACCCUGAUCCAGCCAUGCCGCGUGUGUGAAAAAGGCCCUCGGGUUGUAAAGCACUUUCAGUGAGGAAGAACGCCUGGUGGUUAAUACCCAUCAGGAAAGACAUCACUCACAGAAGAAGCACCGGCUAACUCCGUGCCAGCAGCCGCGGUAAUACGGAGGGUGCGAGCGUUAAUCGGAAUUACUGGGCGUAAAGCGCGCGUAGGUGGCUUGAUAAGCCGGUUGUGAAAGCCCCGGGCUCAACCUGGGAACGGCAUCCGGAACUGUCAAGCUAGAGUGCAGGAGAGGAAGGUAGAAUUCCCGGUGUAGCGGUGAAAUGCGUAGAGAUCGGGAGGAAUACCAGUGGCGAAGGCGGCCUUCUGGACUGACACUGACACUGAGGUGCGAAAGCGUGGGUAGCAAACAGGAUUAGAUACCCCAGUAGUC